rnacentral:rRNA from 1 species
GAUGAACGCUGGCGGCGUGCCUAAUACAUGCAAGUCGAGCGAACGGACGAGAAGCUUGCUUCUCUGAUGUUAGCGGCGGACGGGUGAGUAACACGUGGAUAACCUACCUAUAAGACUGGGAUAACUUCGGGAAACCGGAGCUAAUACCGGAUAAUAUUUUGAACCGCAUGGUUCAAAAGUGAAAGACGGUCUUGCUGUCACUUAUAGAUGGAUCCGCGCUGCAUUAGCUAGUUGGUAAGGUAACGGCUUACCAAGGCAACGAUGCAUAGCCGACCUGAGAGGUUGAUCGGCCACACUUGAACGUAGACACGGUCCAGACUCCUACGGGAGGCAGCAGUAGGGAAUCUUCCGCAAUGGGCGAAAGCCUGACGGAGCAACGCCGCGUGAGUGAUGAAGGUCUUCGGAUCGUAAAACUCUGUUAUUAGGGAAGAACAUAUGUGUAAGUAACUGUGCACAUCUUGACGGUACCUAAUCAGAAAGCCACGGCUAACUACGUG